rnacentral:rRNA from 1 species
GAUGAACGCUGGCGGCGUGCCUAAUACAUGCAAGUCGAGCGAACAGACGCGGCUCUUGCUCCUCUGACGUUUGCGGCGGACGGGUGAGUAACACGUGGAUAACCUACCUAUAAGACUGGGAUAACUUCGGGAAACCGGAGCUAAUACCGGAUAAUAUAUUGAACCGCAUGGUUCGAUAGUAAAAGACGGUUUUGCUGUCACUUAUCGAGGGAUCCGGGCCGCAUGAGCUAGUUGUGAAGGUAACGGCUUACCAAGGCAACGAUGCGUAGCCGACCGCAGAGAGUGGUAGGCGACAUUGGAGCGUGGACGCGCACAAUGGGACUAAGGGAGGGCGCAGACGGCAACCGGCCGCAGCGGGGGAAAGCCUGGCGGAGUGGGGGCACGUGUGUGGUGGAGGUGCUGGGAGCGGAAAAAUCGGUUAUGAGGGAUGAACCAAUGUGUAAGUAACUAUGCACGUCUUGACGGUACUUAGUCAGAAAGCCACGGCUAACUACGUG